CGAACCAAACCAAGUCAAGAUCCAGCCCGAUCCACCAAUUCCGCUCGCUUUUGAUUUCCGCCGCCCACCCGUCCACGGAAAACCACCGCCAGCGCGGCGAAGACGAAGCCGUGUCCGGUAAGGAUCCGGUUGGCGCCAGGCCGCCCACCGCCUCCGCCUCCGCCUCCGGCUAUAAAAGGCGCCCAGGUGCGCCCUCUCCACCCCGCGCUCUCGCCUCCUCCCUCUCUCUUCGGAGCUCUCGUUUCGGGCCGCGCCUCCGCCCGAGUCGCCUCCUCGCGUCUCCGCGACUGUUUCCUUCCUCUUUCUUUCUCGUCCCUCAUCUCGAUUCGUUUCGAAUCGCCUUUGAUUUUUGCUCCGCUCCUCGCCGGCUUUGCUUCCUGUGCUCGCAGGGGAUUCGGCCCGCUUCCGGGGGUAGCGAUCCGAUCGAUCGAUCGAUGGGGGAUUCCAUCGAUUUCGCUUCCCGCGUCUGAUUCCGUGCGACCCUAGGUCAGUUUCUCGAACUCCAUCGGUCGGGUCGGGUCGGGUCGGUUCCUUGGUUCCGUCGCCUGCCUGCGUCCCUCGGUGAUUUCAGAAGAUUUGGAUUCAACGGCCGUCGCCCGUGCGGUCUCCCGGUUCUAGGUUCCCGAUCGAGUAUGUAUCAGUUAACACGAGGUCGAUUCUUUGAGGCCCUCGUGGAUUCUUACUACUUUACCAGCUGAUCCCGCUUUUGGUAUGUGUGCUCUCAUCUUGGAUACACAAGCAAGAUGGCGAGCGGUAGUUCUGAAGUGAUGGUAGGUUAUUUAGAAGGGCGGAGUUGAGGUUUGAUUUCUGUUCAUGGUUAUUUUGAUUGAUUGAUUGGUUGAUUGGCUACGGUUCAGCGGUUACUCUGUUAUGGUCAGAUAUUCUCAGGGCGAUCAAUUGGAUCUCAAUCAACCUGCAACUUCGAUCUGCACUUGGAUAACAAUAUAAAUCAAAACCUCCCAAUUCAUCUAUUUGGUUUGCACAGCGCGCAACAUAUCUGAUUUUGGUUCGUUGAUUGUUGGUUCUCCAGAAAUUGGGAUUACACGGCUAAGCGGACCGGACCGGAGCGACCUAUCUUUGGCUGAUUUGCGUUUGGAUGAAUAAUAUUACUACCUCUAUUUAAUUACUUCCUCUCCUGAGUUCAAUUUUAGCCUCCCAGCAAUUCUGAUUUCGAUUUGCUUCUCACUGUCCAGAAAUUGGGAUUACUUGGCCUAGUGGGAGCGGCUUACUAUCUUCUUGCUGACCUGUGUUUGGAUGACCCAACUCUGUUUUAAUUUCUUCUUCUCCACUGUUCAAUUAUUCUCACAACAAGUCUGAUUUGGAUUGGUUGUUGCUUGUCCAGAAACUGGAAUUACACGGGCCUAGCGGGUACUCCUAUGAUCCCUUGCCAGCAUGGCGGUUCCUAUUUCGUGGCUCAACUUUUUUGAACUUUCUUAUUACUCAAUAUCAUUAAUUAGAACUCAUCAGACAUUAGUUUUCCCUGCCUUGGUCAUUCUUAGCUCUUGCAGAUUGCAAGGGAUAUAAUUGGAACCUGUAGUUGUCUACCUGACCUUCCCAGUUGACACAGGCUUACUCAUCCAUUACCUGCUCACUCGUUUGUACCUAGUUUUCUAAUCCUAGUUUUCCCCUGACCGAAACAUUUAUAGAAAGGUACCUUGCUCGUUGCAGGUUUACGAACUCAAGGCCACCAACCUGAUGCUAAGUUUGCAGUUCUUCUAAAACCACUAUCUACUCAAUUCCUUAACUGAGAUAAUGUUAAUAAGGUCUCUUACCAGGCAAUAUUUUUAAUUCAGAUUUAGCUGCAAAAGGUGCAAGAAUGAAGUUUCAAACUAGUGGCAUAUCUUACAACCGGAGGAAAACUUAAUCUCUUACCCUCCUAUUUUUAUUUCAUUCAGCUACAUUUUCAUGUUUUUUAUUUAGGUUUUUGCUUAUGCCCUCCAUGUCGCUGCAGAUCUGUUUUGCCUAAGACAAUGCUUGUAGCAAGUCAAAAAACUUCUGGUUCGCUAUCCAUCUCUUUGUUGUUUGAUUGGUUAUAUUUGUACUCUUGAUCCCUGUGUUGGUCUUCCUAUACGUGUGUGGGUUGCACUGCAGGAUAUAUUUACGAAGUCUGGGCCUACAUAUGCAAACCUUUGCUGUGUGCAUUUCACGGUGUCAGGUACUCAGGUCAGUAACUGUUGGUUCAUUUUGUGUUGGCCUCCAUGGGUUGGUUGCUGGAUAGUAUCUGAUAUGUCGAAGGGGUUUGAGGAUUAAAUGCAUGUUGCCAGUGUGGUCUUCUAGAUCUCAUCAUGAGUUCCAUCAUAUAAUCAGCUAAUAUGAGGUGGAUUUGGGGUAUUGGUGGAUUCUCAUUGUAGCAGUUGAUCUCGCUUGUGGUCUGUGUUUGUGCUCCUUCAGAUUCAGCAGAAGCAGGAAGUGGUUCCUCAGAGAUGAACCGAAAGGGUGGAGGUUUGGUUUCUGAUAUGGUCAGAGUCUAUGUUUGGUGUUGGACUGAAGUUUUGGAUCGCUCAUCAACCUGGAACUUGAUAUCCAUGUUCAGAUGAUCCCUCUGAAUUUCACUUCAUUUGCUUUGGAUUCGUUCAGUUUUAGCCUCACAACUUUGAUUUGGAUUUGUUGCUGAUUGUCAGAAAUUGGGAUUACUUGGCUUAGUGAGAACGACGUACUAUCUUCUUGCUGACCGACCUGUGUUUGGAUGAUCAAAAUUCUGUUCAAUUCGUUCUUCUCCACAGUUUCAAUUAUUCUCCCAAGGAUUCUGAUUCGGAUUGUUUGCUGGUUAUCCAGAAUCUGGAAUUACACGGGCCUAGCGGCUGCUCCUAUUUUGGCUCAGCAUGGCGGUUCUUUUUCUGUGGCUAAACCUUUUGGACCUUCCUUAUUCAAUAUUCAUUAGAACUCAGCAGACACUAGUUUUCCCUGCCUUAGCCAUUUUUAGCUCUUGCAGAUCGUGUCUUGCAAGGGAUAAAAAUUGGAACCCGUGUUGUCUACCUGACCUUCACAGUGGAGACAGACUUACUCAUCCUUUACCUUCUCAUUCGUCUGUACUUAGUUUUCUAAUCCUACUAGUUUUCCCCUUACUGAAACAUUUAUAGAGAUGUAUUUUGCUCGUUGCAGGUCAUUGUUUACGAACUCAAGACCACCAACCUGAUAUUGAGUUUGCAGUUCUUCUAUAUCUAACAUCUUCUUAAAAUUCCUUGACUUAGAUAAUAAAAAUAAGAUCUCUUACUAGGUAAUAUUUCAAACUAAGAUUUAGCUGCAAAGGUGAAAUAAUGAAGCUUCAAACUAGUGGCACAUCCUACAACCAGAAAAAACUUAAACCUCUUGUCCUCUUAUUUCUAUUUCAUUCAGCUAUAUGUCUUCUCCGCCUUAGUCGGCAAUUCUCAGCUCUUGUAGAUACUGACAUGGAAAUGAUACAACUGCAGUUUGGAACUGGUGUUGUCGUCCGUCAACCAUAGCUGAACUUCCUAGCCGCCACAUGCUUACUUGUUCCCAGCCCAUCGUUUGAUCCAUGCUUUAGCUAUUUAUAUAAAAGUAACAUUUUCCCCUAACUGAAAAUUUAUAGAAAGGCCUCUUGCUUGUUGCAGGUUGCAGUUGAUGAACUUAAGUCCAACCUGAUGAUGAAUUCGUUUGCAGAUCUUCUAAAUCUAUGAGCAUUGUUUCAAUUCAUCAUAACUUACAUAACCUACAAAUUAUCUUACUAGGCAAUAUUUUAUAAUACAGAUAUGCGAAGGUGCAUGAAUCUAAGGACAAUCCGAAGCUUUCAACUAAUGGCACAUCCUACAACUGAAAUAGACUCCUCCUUUUUUUUACUUCAUUUAGCUACUUGGCCAUGUCUUCGAUACAAGUUUUUGCUCCUGCCCUCCUUCUGGUUGCAGAUUUUUUCUUUAGCCCAGGCCAUGUGGCUAAUGACGCAGAAUCUGUUUAAUGUUUUGAUUCGGUGUUUUCGGCACUCUUGAUCCCCGUGUUCUUUUGGUCUUCUCCGAGUGUGGGUUGCAGGAUAUAAUAGUUUGGAUUUGGUGCCCCAACCUCUGUACAUGGAGUCAGGUAAGUGUCUCGUAGACGGUCCUGUUUGUUUCAUUUGUUCUCGGCCACCUCCGUGAGUUAGCUUGCAGGACUGGAUCAGGUCUGGAAAUGAACCUCCCUAUGGUACAUGAACAGUAUUGUGAAGGGGACUUGAGGCAGGUCAGUUUCCCAUGUUUGGUCACACUGGUCUCGGUGACAUCAGAUUUGAGUGGCUAUACCUUUAAGUUCUUCGAUUUAUCUUUGUCUGAUGGCUCAACAUGAGUACUGCUAUCCCUUAAUACGAGGUGGAUUCUUGUUGGUUCUCGCUGUAACAGCUGAUCUCGCUUGUGGUAUGUGUUUGUUCUCCUUCAGAUGUAGGAGGGCGAUGGUUGUGGAGUGAUGAAUCGAAGGGUGGAGGUUUGCUUUACUGUUUGUGGUUAUUUUGAUUGGUUAUGGCUCAAUGCCUUAUGAGAAGCCAGGAUCUUGUGUGCUGAAGUUUUCGUUUCGGAUUGAAGUUGGAUUGGAUCGUUAACCAUGGAAUGGGGAUCAGAGAAUUUGCAAACUGUGUUUGGAUUAUUGACCCUCCUCAAUUUAGUUUCUUUGUUUGCACGGUCGAAUUUAGCUUACAACAUCUCUGAUAUCAACUGUUGGUUCUCCAGCUAUUUGACUUUUGGGACUUCCCGGAAGGUGCCUCUUGGUACAUCAUGUUACAGGCGGUUUCUUAGAUUGACUUCAUCUUUCCUGAUUCGCUUUGAACGUUAUAUUUCUAAGACAUGGUUUUCUCUUCCCUUGGUAACCAUGUGUCCUUGCAGAUAUUGUGACGAGAGAUAAUAUAGUUUGCUAUCUGGAACUGGUGUUGUUGCCUAACUGAUCUCUCCCGGCCAAGCAGGCUUAUCCUAUCCCCUCACUGUUUGAUGCAUUAUUUAGCUGUUUAAGAAGCUUCGUUUCCCCAAAGCAAAAAUUCACAGGAAGGUCUCCUGUCAUUGCAGAUCCUAAUUGAUGAUUUAGGCCCAACCUGUUGCUGAGCUAUCUGUUCGAAAAUCUUCUAAACACUACACCUUUCCAAUUCAUCGUAAUUUGUUCCAACAUACUCCUAUAAACUAUCUUAUGAAGACAAAAUUUGAAUAUUCAGAUUGAUUUGGUGGAUGUACAAGAUUCGAAGGUUGCUCUGGAGCUUCAAUGUAGAUGGGACAUCCUACAACCGAAAAAACUCAGUGCUCUCUAUUUUUAUCUCCUGAAGAAACUUCUGUUGUCUAAGUUCCUUUUCGCAUGUAGCAUUGAUGGUGAUUUUUUGCUUCCGCCUUCCUGUAGUUGCAGAUUGUUUAGCGCAAGCCAUGCUGGUAACCAGUCAAAAUCUGUCAUCUUUUUGGUUUGUGAUCUCUCUGGUUUACUUUGUUAUAUCCCCAAUCCAUGUGUUUCCGUUUUGUUGGCCUGCUAGGUUUGUUGUUUGCAGUAUAUGUUGGAAUUAGUGGAUGUUCCCUGUAUUUAGAGUCAGGUCAGUGUCUGGUCUGCCUUCAUUGCAAAAUAAGCCCCGUUCUCUCUUCUUCAAUGGCUAAUCAAUGAUUCUGUUUGUCACGUAGUACAAGGUGAAUUUUAUCUCAUUCAUGGUAUAUGCGCCUUUAGAGACAAACCAGCGGAGAUUGUAUUGGCUGUUCCCUUUAGCUCAUCAGAUGAUAUCUUAAGUUCAGGAUCGGAGUUGUUGGUCAGGCCUGCACGGUUGAGGAUUCAAAUGUGUCUCGAAGCGUGACUGAACUGUCUGGAUAUAUUCUCCUCCUAUUUGAUAUCUCCAUAAGUGGAGAGUUCUAAAGGCUAGUUUGGAAGCUUCGUUCUGGAUGAAGGAGUCCUCUACAACCACAUAAUCUUACACUUAGAUUCCAUACUUAUUUCCACUCAUUGCCAAGAUUUCAUUAUGGACUUUCGUUGAAGAAAUAUUAAGUAUGACGACUAUAUUUUGAGCUGUUCAUUGAUUUGCAGUGGUGGAAGUUUUAUUGCAAGAUUGUAGAGUUGGAAAUUCGGCUAGUGCGGGGACUUGCUGAAGCUAUCAAAUUGGUUUGGACUUCUGAUUAGUGAUACUGAAGCAUAUUACGUUAUUUGGUCUUUGUGGUAGUUUUCAAUUUGAACUUGCACUCGGUGGCCUCAUCUCUUUGGCGCAGCUUGGAGUUGGUAGUGUGCACAUCUGAUUCUUUCAACUGUCAUGAAGCAUCUUACUUGGUUUCUGUUGUGUGACAUCUUGCUGAUUAUGGUAUCUGCUUCAACUUGCAUGUGGUUUUGAUGGAAUAUGAUGUCAUCUUUUGGUCCGAAUCAAGAAAAUGCUAGAAGUCUCAAACAAGGGUCCGGAAUGGAAAUAUCAGUUCAUACUCAGUUUGUAUAGCAGAUUAUCAAAUUUUGAUUUGGCUAUAAAUUACUUGGUUACCAUACUGUUUCAGGAAGUUAGGCUUUGACAUUUGGCUGCUUGUAUCUUUGAACUUGCAAAUUUAUCACCUAUGAUAGGAAGUAAAGAUCGCAUGUACAUGAGCUCUGAAUGCAGUAAAAAUGUUCAUACAUUUAUAUAUGAAUUGGUCAUACUUGGA